rnacentral:rRNA from 1 species
ACGGCUCAGUAACACGUGGCUAAUCUGCCCUUAGGACGAGAACACCCCCGGGAAACUGGGGCUAAUUCUCAAUAGGCGAAGAACUCCGGAAUGAGUCUUCACCAAAAAGAAACCUAAGUUAUGCUCUUAGGUCUCGCCCAAGGAUGGGGCCGCGACCGAUCAGGUUGUUGGUGAGGUAAUGGCUCACCAAGCCUUUUACCGGUGCGGGCCGUGGGAGCGGGAGCCCGGAGAUGGGCACUGAGACAAGGGCCCAGGCCCUACGGGGCGCAGCAGUCGCGAAAACUUUGCAAUAAGCGAAAGCUUGGCAGGGCUAUCCCGAGUGCCAUCCGCUGAGGAAGGCUUUUACCCAGUCUAGAACGCUGGGGGAAUAAGGAGAGGGCAAGUCUGGUGUCAGCCGCCGCGGUAAUACCAGCUCUCCGAGUGGUGUGGAUGUUUAUUGGGCCUAAAGCAUCCGUAGCUGGCUAAGUUAGUCCCCUGUUAAAUCCACCGAAUUAAUCGUUGGAUUGCGGGGGAUACUGCUUGGCUAGGGGACGAGAGAGGCAGACGGUAUUUUCGGGGUAGGGGUGAAAUCCUAUAAUCCCGGGAAGACCACCAGUGGCGAAGGCUGUCUGCUAGAACGCGCCCGACGGUGAGGGAUGAAAGCUGGGGGAGCGAACCGGAUUAGAUACCCGGGUAGUCCCAGCUGUAAACGAUGCAGGCUAGGUGUUUGGACGGCCACGUGCCGUUCUAGUGCCGCAGGGAAGCUGUUAAGCCUGCCGCCUGGGGAGUACGACCGCAAGAUUGAAACUUAAAGGAAUUGGCGGGGGAGCAC